rnacentral:rRNA from 1 species
UGCAGUCGACGAACCUUCGGGUUAGUGGCGGACGGGUGAGUAACGCGUGAUAAUCUGCCCUCAGGAGGGGGAUAACAGUUGGAAACGACUGCUAAUACCCCAUAUGCCGAGAGGUGAAACGAAUUUUGCCUGGGGAUGAGCUCGCGUCUGAUUAGCUUGUUGGUGGGGUAAAAGCCUACCAAGGCUUCGAUCAGUAGCUGGUCUGAGAGGACGAUCAGCCACACUGGGACUGAGAUACGGCCCAGACUCCUACGGGAGGCAGCAGUGGGGAAUUUUCCGCAAUGGGCGCAAGCCUGACGGAGCAACGCCGCGUGAGGGAUGAAGGCCUUUGGGCUGUAAACCUCUUUUCUCAAGGAAGAAGAUCUGACGGUACUUGAGGAAUAAGCCACGGCUAAUUCCGUGCCAGCAGCCGCGGUAAUACGGGAGUGGCAAGCGUUAUCCGGAAUUAUUGGGCGUAAAGCGUCCGCAGGCGGCCGUUUAAGUCUGUUGUUAAAUCGUGGAGCUCAACUCCAUCACGGCAAUGGAAACUGUUCGGCUUGAGUAUGGUAGGGGCAGAGGGAAUUUCCGGUGUAGCGGUGAAAUGCGUAGAUAUCGGGAAGAACACCAGUGGCAAAAGCGCUCUGCUGGGCCAUUACUGACGCUCAUGGACGAAAGCCAGGGAGCGAAAGGGAUUAGAUACCCCUGUAGUCCUGGCCGUAAACGAUGAACACUAGAUGUUGGGGGAAUCGACCCCUCCGUGUCGUAGCUACGCGUUAAGUGUUCCGCCUGGGGAGUACGCACGCAGUG